UCUUUUGGAGAGUUAAAUGAAAUUGCAAAGAAGUCCCUCUAGAUAAUUCCUAAGUUUUCCUAAAUUGCAAAAAGACCACUCCUUAAUCAUUAAGCAUGCAAGUCCCUCACAACUCUAUAAAUAGAACCCAAGCCUUCAUCUAUUUCUCAUUUUUCUCUACACAUUCUAAAAAUCAAAAUCUCUUUCCCCUCUUCUACCAAUUUUCGAAAUUAUAGUGUAGGAAAGCCCCAAAUUCUCUCUUUCAAGAGUAAAAUUCUUGGCCAAAGGAGUAAUUCUUCUUCCUCUUCUUUCUUUUCUUCAUUUUCGAAAAUUUUAAGAAACUAAGCUUCUUCUUCCCCUCUUUCUAAAAUUUCUUCUUCUUCUCCUUGUAGAAAGGAAAGAACACCCUUCCAAUUUUCUAAGAAGAUUAAGGUACUUUCAAUCCCGAGCACGAGUCGUAAAGUUGGAGUCGGGUUCGAGGAUCGAGGGAUGUGUUCAUAUGGAAGGCGUGUGGAUCUUGUGUGCUCUUAAUUUAGCUAUAUUAUUCUACUUAUAUAGUUUAAUUUUAAAGACUUUCGAUACUGUCUUAGAUAUCUAUUAUUGUACUCUUCCACCCCUCGGGGGAUCUUGUUAGUAAGAACAUUGCAUCUAAUAAUAACUAGGAUUUUGAUUU